rnacentral:rRNA from 1 species
ACGGGUGAGUAACACGUGAGUAACCUGCCCCCUUCUUUGGGAUAACGGUCGGAAACGGCUGCUAAUACCGGGUAUUCACUGUCCUUCGCAUGGGGGGUGGUGGAAAGGUUUUUUCUGGUGGGGGAUGGGCUCGCGGCCUAUCAGCUUGUUGGUGGGGUGAUGGCUUACCAAGGCUUUGACGGGUAACCGGCCUGAGAGGGUGACCGGUCACAUUGGGACUGAGAUACGGCCCAGACUCCUACGGGAGGCAGCAGUGGGGAAUAUUGCACAAUGGGCGAAAGCCUGAUGCAGCGACGCCGCGUGAGGGAUGACGGCCUUCGGGUUGUAAACCUCUUUCGCUCAUGGUCAAGCCGCAACAGUGGUUGUGGUGAGGGUAGUGGGUAAAGAAGCACCGGCUAACUACGUGCCAGCAGCCGCGGUAAUAUGUAGGGUGCGAGCGUUGUCCGGAAUUAUUGGGCGUAAAGGGCUUGUAGGCGGUUUGUCGCGUCUGCCGUGAAAUCCUCUGGCUUAACUGGGGGCGUGUCGGUGGGUACGGGCAGGCUUGAGUGCGGUAGGGGAG